ensembl:snRNA predicted gene, 25367
GUGCUCAAUUGGGCAGAACACACUAAAAAUGGGAACAGUAGAGAGGAAAAUAGCAUGGCCUUUGUACAAGGAUGACAUGCAAAUUCAUAAAGUUGUACUCUCCCCU